UAGGUUUUAGUUUAAGGAGAAUGGUUGACUGUUAAUCAACAGGUGAAAUUUUGUUCAAGCCUAG
rnacentral:tRNA from 1 species